GAUCUAGCAUCUGUCAACCUUAUCAAGUGUUGCGACGGAGCACGUCCCAAAUACGGCCGAAGCAAUCCCCUCGUUCUACGUCAGUGUUAGUGUUUGUUUUGUUUGACUGGUGCCCGUGCUGUCGCUUGGCAAACGAUUAGAAGAAUCAAAACAAUCUGAGCAAGCGGGAGCACGGGCGCAGCUGGACAGGUCAGCUGCGAAAAGACACCAUAAUUUUUUGUAGCAUGUGGGAAAUAAAAGAAUUUUAUUUCGCCCUGCUCACGAAAACGGUGCCCGGAGUAGCACAUUCCCGCCUGUCUCAACACUACAAAAAAUUAUGACACGGAGUGCCGAAGUUAAGGAACCUACGACCACGAUCGGAAGCGGGAAAGGCGCGGCGGAAGUGGUACGAGGAUCCCCCAGAGACGUGCCUUCAACCGGAGCGGUUGCUGAGGAAUUCGCUGACGCUGGGGAAAUGGUGGCUGGGACCCCAACAAAAUGGAGUCGUUGGGGCAACGAUUGCCAAAGGAUGUUGCGACGAAGUGAUCACCCGUGGCCCAUAAAUCGAGCCAAAAGUGGUCGGGCACGGGUGAGAGGCGGAGGUCAAAAGACAACUUUGCAGCGAAACGCGCUCAUCGGCUUCAAGUUGCAGACGUCAUCAGCAGCACCAAAACCAGCAAAGCAUCUUCGGGACGCGCUACGACGAAGAAGGCGCAAAACUCUGACUUCGGCAAAUCAGAAGUUUUACGGGGGGGAGUGUUGCGACGGAGCACGUCCCAAAUACGGCCGAAGCAAUCCCCUCGUUCUACGUCAGUGUUAGUGUUUGUUUUGUUUGACUGGUGCCCGUGCUGUCGCUUGGCAAACGAUUAGAAGAAUCAAAACAAUCUGAGCAAGCGGGAGCACGGGCGCAGCUGGACAGGUCAGCUGCGAAAAGACACCAUAAUUUUUUGUAGCAUGUGGGAAAUAAAAGAAUUUUAUUUCGCCCUGCUCACGAAAACGGUGCCCGGAGUAGCACAUUCCCGCCUGUCUCAA